GACGAACGCUGGCGGCGUGGAUUAGGCAUGCAAGUCGAACGGUAUCAUCCUUUCGGGGGUGAGAGAGUGGCGAACUGGUGAGUAACACGUAGGAAUCUACCCUUAAGACGGGGACAACCCAGGGAAACUUGGGCUAAUACCGGAUGGGAGUGCGAGAGAUUGCAUUUAAAAGGAUGGCGAAAGUUGUCGCUUAGGGAUGAGCCUGCGGUCUAUUAGUUAGUUGGUGAGGUAAGAGCUCACCAAGGCGAUGAUAGAUAGGCGGCCUUAACGGGUGGUCGCCCACACUGGGAUUGAGAUACGGCCCAGACUCCUACGGGAGGCAGCAGUCGAGAAUAGUCUACAAUGGCCGGAAGGCUGAUAGUGCGACGCCGCGUGAACGAGGGAGCCCUUCGGGUGUAAAGUUCUUUUCUAUACGAGCAGUGCUAUAUAUAUGGAUAGUAUAUAUAGAGGGAUAGUAGUAUAGGAAUAAGCAACGGCUAACUCCGUGCCAGCAGCCGCGGUAAA
rnacentral:rRNA from 1 species